rnacentral:rRNA from 2 species
GGAUGCGAUCAUACCAGCACUAAAGCAUUGGAUGCCAUCAGAACUCCGAAGUUAAGCGUGCUUAGGCCAGAGUAGUACUAGGAUGGGUGACCUCCUGGGAAGUCCUCGUGUUGCAUUCC